rnacentral:misc_RNA from 1 species
UGCAUUGUCUGCUUGCUCUUUUUGAAGUUACAGAAUUAAAAAAAAACAGAAAACAAAAACCACACACACAAACUACUGCAUAACUACUUAAAGGGAAGCAAGUCCUACGUGAGAUGUUCGCAUUCUGAGUUGUCUCCCAUGGUAGCAAUGCGUGCAAAGUUACUUUAAAAGAUGUAUUAGAAACUGGCUGUUUAACAAAGAAGCGAGCGUUUACCACAACUUCACUGGCUUUCUACACUACACCUGUUCACAGAAGCAAUAAGCACAUUUUAUUCGACUACAGCAAACGAUUUAAUGGUAUUUUGUGUGUGUUGAGUUAAAAGACUUGGAAACCACAGCGCUGUCUGCUCGACUUCUUGGAACUUAAUAACAACUGGACAUCAGUGAGUACAACAACUGUACAGCGCUUUGUAUUAUUAGCAGCUUGACAACUAAUCAUCUCGCCGGCAUGUCCGACUGUAAAGAUAUGGGUUUAAGUGAUUGGGGUUAUGUCGGCAUUGCCAUUAGAGCGGACUCGAUGGCGGAAGUCGUGAAAGAUAGCUUGGCAUAAUUUUUCUACAUAUUUUAUGUGAAUAUGUCUUUCUUUAACCACUGGGCCAUGAGUCAGACCGAGACAAUCAUUUCUGGUAAUAUGACCUUAAAGGAUAAAACUUGUAGUACCCCGCAAAAUAGAAAAAAUUCACAGAGUUAAAAGAAGGAAAAAUUCCACUGACCCAGUUCUAUGCCCGUUUCAUAGGUUCGGGCCAGGGUACACCAGACCCUUCUGUAUCCUUUUCUCAUCAAGAUAUUAUAUAUAAAUAUACUGUAUUGUGGGAGUGUGAAAUUAUUUCAACGCAUAUAAACUACAAAAUGCUCGACCCCCCUGUGCACAAUGGACCCUACCCAAGCCUCUCUCCCUCUUCUAUUCAAUGCACCCAACCGACCUAUGACCUACUACCGUUACUUCUACGUUCUGACCAACGACUGACAGUAUGAUUUGAAAGCAAAGGUCUCUAACACUUCCUAGCCUCUUGCUUCACUGUAUCGUAGGGACGACUGUAAACCAGCGUGUGUCUCAGCUGUGAAACUCUCCUCCGAACAUUCAGCGGACUGUCCGUGUAACCUGGAGAAUAACACAUGGUGUGUUCGCAGAAGUGGUCGAGACUGUCAUGGCCGCCCCUGCCUGAGGAGAAGCCGCCUCGAUUAUCCGGUUUUUGAUAGAGCCAGAGGGUCUGAGUCUCAGAAAAGGAGCUGAGGACGUGUGCAGUUUCACUCAAAUAGUACUUUAACAAUUCAAAAAAAAAAAAUGAAUGUAAUGUUAGAACAGGAAGCUAUGUCUGCCAUAAACAAUCAAGUCCACGUCUCAUGUAUGCACAGCAUAAAGACUGAACCGAUGUCUGUAGCUGAUCUACAAGACCUAAAUGAUAAAGUAAUGCUUAAGACAGAAACCACAUUUUGUUCUGAUACAAAUAUGACAUAUAGCUCAUCAGCGAGCUCAUCAAUGAACUGUGUACAGCUUAAAAACCUUUUUGGUCCAACUUACAUAAAACCUGAGUUUGCUAAGAAUAUUCCUCAAUCAAACUGGAAACAUGAGGAUGAUGUAAAACUGGAGCUUAACUCUCAGGAUACCAUUGGUUGUAUUAAAACUGAGCAAGUUCCUGGUGAAGAACUUUGUCCCUUAAAAGCCGAGUAUACUGCACACAUUGAGCAGUCAGACUGCAGUCAUGAGAAUGCUGUGAAGAUGGAGUGCCACUGUCAAGAUGUCACCUGUUCAAUUAAGACUGAGCAGGAUUUUGUGCAGUGUGCAAAGACAGAAGAGCAGCUUGUAUCU